UACGUAGGCAGCGAGCGUUGUUCGGAGUUACUGGGCGUAAAGGGUGUGUAGGCGGUUGUUUAAGUUUGGUGUGAAAUCUCCCGGCUCAACUGGGAGGGUGCGCCGAAUACUGAAUGACUUGGAGUGCGGGAGAGGAGAGUGGAAUUCCUGGUGUAGCGGUGAAAUGCGUAGAUAUCAGGAGGAACACCGGUGGUGUAGACGGCUCUCUGGACCAUUACUGACGCUGAGGCACGAAAGCUAGGGGAGCAAACAGG
rnacentral:rRNA from 1 species